UAGGGAAUCUUCCACAAUGGACGCAAGUCUGAUGGAGCAACGCCGCGUGAGUGAAGAAGGUCUUCGGAUCGUAAAGCUCUGUUGUUGGUGAAGAAGGAUAGAGGCAGUAACUGGUCUUUAUUUGACGGUAAUCAACCAGAAAGUCACGGCUAACUACGUGCCAGCAGCCGCGGUAAUACGUAGGUGGCAAGCGUUGUCCGGAUUUAUUGGGCGUAAAGCGAGCGCAGGCGGGAUGAUAAGUCUGAUGUGAAAGCCCACGGCUCAACCGUGGAACUGCAUCGGAAACUGUCAUUCUUGAGUGCAGAAGAGGAGAGUGGAACUCCAUGUGUAGCGGUGGAAUGCGUAGAUAUAUGGAAGAACACCAGUGGCGAAGGCGGCUCUCUGGUCUGCAACUGACGCUGAGGCUCGAAAGCAUGGGUAGCGAACAGGAUUAGAUACCCUGGUAGUCCAUGCCGUAAACGAUGAGCGCUAGGUGUU
rnacentral:rRNA from 1 species